UUCAGCCAAUAGAAGAUGCAUCAUUUAAGCAUUCACAUAUUGGACACUUAGGUUGUUUCCAUUCUUUUUUUUCACUUCAGCAUUUCCAUGAACAUUUGCGCACAUGCCUCUUCCUUUGGACUGUUUGUAAGAAGAAUUUCUAAAAUGGUUUAACAGCAAAGUUUCCCUAUGUUCCACCACCUCCAUCUCUGCCACUCCCCAGCCGAAUGCUGGCAAGCAGUCCUAGUCUACGGGAACAGAAAUGUUGAAGAUGCUGUGAAGCCACAUGGAAAUAAAUUGGUGAAGACCAGAACUUUGUGGAAGAGAAACUAGUGUAUUUACAAGGUUCUCAAGCCAGCGCACAAUGAAGUCUUUUCCUUGGGACCAUGACCCUGUGCGGACUCACCUCUGUGCAUGGAGUGUCUGUUUUUGCUGUGGUCUGACCCCGUAAGUGUACCCGCCUUGGUGCAGAGGUUUACAGACUAAGCUCCCGGCUUCCUGGGAGCCCACAGAAGUUUCUCAUCGGUGGCCGACCCUCCUGCCUGCUUUACUCAUAGCAGAUCAAUUUUUUUCAGCUUUAUGUGGGGAACAACCAUGUACGGUUCCGUUGGACUAAAUACGCUCUGCUGCUGAACGAUAACGCAAAUUGAAAAGUGCUGGCGAAGCUGAAGUCGAUCAUCGUUUUUGGAAAAAUAGCUUCCAAUGUCUGUUUUGUUAAGUGUGGUUAAACAUCACCAGCAUGAAAGCAUUGGAAAGGUAGCAUUCGUUUAACUGGUUUUUACAUCUUGUGAAUCAGUGCAAAGGAAAUAGGUCACUGCAUGUUUUCCCGGUAGCCAAGCUACAUUUUGAUACUUUAUGUGCGAGUUUGGAAGGCUGAGAAGCAUGAGGCGGGCAGUGAUUCAGAACCAAGGGGUUUAGGAGGCGCUCAGCUGCCGAGUUGCCGUGGUGACCUGAAGAAGACAACCUGCUUACCUGCUUCCUCACUUCUCACUGCUGCAAGGAUAGGCACAGACGCUGAGGCUGAACUGGGUGCCUUAAACUCUACUUUCCAUUAGCAAGAAUGAAGUGCCUUGGAAUCAACAAGGAAGAACUCGACGUCCGUGGAAUUUUAAGGUGUUCUAAUGCUGGCAAGCUGUUUCAGUUCACCUCCGUGACCUGCAGCUUACCUUCUGGCCAGGUGACGGUGAAUGGUGGCAGUUUUCCAGAGAUGGGUUCUCUGAGCUGUGAGGUGUGAGCGCUGGGCACCAAACACAGCUGAGGGAAGACAUCACCACUCUGGUUCUGGAGACAGGAGGCUGCACAGAGAAGAUGAUACUUCAGCUGACUUGGAGCAGAUGAGCAGGAGUUUGCCAGGCACAGAAAAGAGCAAAUGGCAUCCAGGCAGGCUCAUGACAUACAAAAGCAUGUGUGUGGGAAAGCGCGUGGUACUUACGGAACCUGCGGUGCUUGGGCGUGGGGAGAGCCAGCAGUGAGCUCAGGGUGGAAGGGACAUGAGGCCCGAGGAAGUGAUUUGAGAGAAGUGUCACAUGUUAAAUUUCACAUAUUUAACAUCAAGGGGUGAGGCAAAGUGGAAACGUCACCUAUGGGGGGGAAAUCUGGUCCUUGGGAUAUCUUCUACCUUUUUCUUGGGUUUGAAAGUGAACUUGAGGAAUCUCUCAUUUCCUGCCCUCCCUUUGCUCCCACAUCCUGUCCUGCCUCUGCUCAGCUGCUCUGGGUCCCUGCAAGCCUUUUCUCCCCCUUUCUUCCUCCCGGCUUUCCUCCUGGGAUGGACUCCUUGGAUAGAGCACAGACCUACACUUAUUUCUAUUUCAGUCCCUUUGUCUGCCAGAGCCCAGGGGGGAGUGCUAGGCUGCAUGGACGCUUUUCCUCCGGGGACUCCACCCCCUCUGAGGGAAAUGUGUAAAGGAGACACUUCCCCUGGGGGCGGGAUGAGUGUGGCCAGACACCACUCCCCUGCCCCUCCCCCCCCA